UGGUGGCAUACCUAUCAAUGGUAAUCCUAUCGAGGGAGGAGACCAGCUUGCUGAUUGACCUCUAGAGUUCUAAGCUACAGUGAGCCAUGCCUAUUGAGUGGGUCUCUGUACUAAUUUUAGCAUUAAUUUCAGAGCCUUUUGGGAGCAGAGGAUACCAGGUUGCCUAAGGUGGGGUCAACCAGCCCAGGUUACAAGUGGAGUAGGUCAAAGCUCCCAUGCUGAGCAGUAGUGGGAUCAGGCCCAUAACUAACCCUUUCUACCCUGGGUAAGAUAGGGAGAUUGAGUCUUU
rnacentral:SRP_RNA from 1 species